GGUAAAACUUGGUAGCGUGCUGGUUUUGUGUGUGACAUUUAAUUGUGACGUCAGCAGUAAGUGAAACAUGCAACGAGACGCCAUCUUGUUCAAUUUUCCCAAACCAAGACCGCGGUGUUGUGACUCUACAAGAUCUGACUCAGAAAGUGCAGUCAAAACACUGGAUAAUGAUUUACUACACGCAGUUUUCGUUCACACAGACGUAUGGUAAAUGUAACUUCAGAUGGCAUGCUCCCAAUUCCGACCAGAACGUCAAGAGAGAAUUAAUGUGCUACAAUUCUGAUUUAAAGGAAUGCGAAGAUUACGAAACGUUGGUCAAACGGAAGACAUCAGACUGCAAUCGAGGGGAGGAGAACGGUAAAAAU